CUUUUAUUUUCAUUGCACGCUUUGAAUAUGUGGGAUGAACGCUUGGCAAAGAUAAAACAAUUCCGUUACAAAAAAAGAAAAAAGAAAAAACAAGAUAGAAACAUGGACCACAAUCGAAACCCCUUCUUUAUGGCAAUAAUUAAGUGCAAUUUGCAAAUGCUUCCUUACCACCCUUUUCUCAUCGUGGCUUCUAUUGUCUACAACAGUACACAGAUGUCGACUUCCAUUGCUUAUUGGUUAAAAAAAAGUGUAAACAACUUUGCGCACAGCCACACAUUACAUUGUGUCGAAUCUAUAUAUGGUGCUGAGUUGAACGGUGAUGGUCCUACAUCCUUUUCCUUUAAUUUCUUUAAUUGA